UACGAGGGGGGCGAGCGUUGUUCGGAAUUAUUGGGCGUAAAGGGUGCGUAGGCGGUUUGGUAAGUCUUGUGUGAAAUCUCCAGGCUCAACUUGGAGUCUGCACGAGAAACUGCCGGGCUUGAGUGUGGGAGAGGUGAGUGGAAUUCCUGGUGUAGCGGUGAAAUGCGCAGAUAUCAGGAGGAACACCGGUGGCGAAGGCGGGUCUCUGGGAAACAACUGACGCUGAGGAACGAAAGCGUGGGUAGCAAACAGG
rnacentral:rRNA from 1 species